CCUACGGGCGGCAGCAGUGAGGAAUAUUGGUCAAUGGGCGAGAGCCUGAACCAGCCAAGUCGCGUGAAGGAUGACGGCCCUACGGGUUGUAAACUUCUUUUGUCAGGGAGCAAUUGAGUCCACGUGUGGUCUUAUCCAGAGUACCUGAAGAAAAAGCAUCGGCUAACUCCGUUCCAGCAGCCGCGGUACUACGGAGGAUGCGAGCGUUAUCCGAAUUUAUUGGGUUUAAGGGGUUCGCAGGCGGAAUGUCAAGUCAUCAGUAAAAUUUAGAGUCUAAACCUCUUCGAGCCGUUGAAACUGGUUUUCUUGAGUGAGCGAGAAGUAUGCGGAAUGCGUGGUGUAGCGGUGAAAUGCAUAGAUAUCACGCAGAACUCCGAUUGCGAAGGCAGCAUACCGGCGCUCAACUGACGCUCAUGCACGAAAGUGUGGGUAUCGAACAGGAUUAGAUACCCGAGUAGUC
rnacentral:rRNA from 1 species